rnacentral:rRNA from 1 species
UUAGUCAGAAUCCAUGCCAGAAAGCGGUGAUUUAUACCCACACAUCGUAGUCGGAUACGAAUAGGCCUUUGGCCCUGAAUCUUAGCUGGCUGGUAACGGUCCUAUUGAAGAAACUCUUUAGGACUAACUGGCGUCUUGCAAUUUUACAAUGCGUGGGGUUGAAUCCUUUGCAUACGACUUAAUUGUGCUAUACGGUCCUGUAAGUAGUAGAGUAGCCUUGUUGUUACGAUCUACUGAGGGUAAGCCGUCCAUAGCCUAGAUUUGA